rnacentral:rRNA from 1 species
UACGGNUCGGCUUGAGUGCGGUAGGGGAGACUGGAACUCCUGGUGUAGCGGUGGAAUGCGCAGAUAUCAGGAAGAACACCGGUGGCGAAGGCGGGUCUNUGAGCCGUUACUGACGCUGAGGAGCGAAAGCGUGGGGAGCGAACAGGAUUAGAUACCCUGGUAGUNCACGCCGUAAACGUUGGGCACUAGGUGUGGGGGACCUUUUCCGGGUCUUCCGCGCCGUAGCUAACGCAUUAAGUGCCCCGCCUGGGGAGUACGGCCGCAAGGCUAAAACUCAAAGGAAUUGACGGGGGCCCGCACAAGCGGCGGAGCAUGCGGAUUAAUUCGAUGCAACGCGAAGAACCUUACCAAGGCUUGACAUGUGCCGGUCGGCUCCGGAGACGGGGCUUCCUCCUUGUGGGGCCGGUUCACAGGUGGUGCAUGGUUGUCGUCAGCUCGUGUCGUGAGAUGUUGGGUUAAGUCCCGCAACGAGCGCAACCCUUGUCCCGUGUUGCCAGCACGUUGUGGUGGGGACUCGCGGGAGACUGCCGGGGUCAACUCGGAGGAAGGUGGGGAUGACGUCAAAUCAUCAUGCCCCUUAUGUCUUGGGCUUCACGCAUGCUACAAUGGCCGGUACAGAGGGCUGCGAUACCGUGAGGUGGAGCGAAUCCCUUAAAGCCGGUCUCAGUUCGGAUCGGUGUCUGCAACUCGACACCGUGAAGUUGGAGUCGCUAGUAAUCGCAGAUCAGCAACGCUGCGGUGAAUACGUUCUCGGGCCUUGUACACACCGCCCGUCACGUCAUGAAAGUCGGCAA